AUACGGAGGGGGCUAGCGUUGUUCGGAAUUACUGGGCGUAAAGCGCGCGUAGGCGGAUUGAUCAGUCAGGGGUGAAAUCCCGAGGCUUAACCUCGGAACUGCCUUUGAUACUGUCAAUCUUGAGUUCGAGAGAGGUGAGUGGAAUUCCUAGUGUAGAGGUGAAAUUCGUAGAUAUUAGGAAGAACACCAGUGGCGAAGGCGGCUCACUGGCCCGAUACUGACGCUGAGGCGCGAAAGCGUGGGGAGCAAACAGGAUUAGAAACCCUAGUAGUCC
rnacentral:rRNA from 1 species